UACGUGGGGGGCAAGCGUUGUUCGGAUUUACUGGGCGUAAAGGGCGCGUAGGCGGCAUGACAAGUCACUUGUGAAAUCUCUGGGCUUAACCCAGAACGGCCAAGUGAUACUGUCACGCUAGAGUGCAGAAGGGGCAAUCGGAAUUCUUGGUGUAGCGGUGAAAUGCGUAGAUAUCAAGAGGAACACCUGAGGUGAAGACGGGUUGCUGGGCUGACACUGACGCUGAAGCGCGAAAGCCAGGGGAGCAAACAGG
rnacentral:rRNA from 1 species